rnacentral:rRNA from 1 species
GACGAACGCUGGCGGCGCGCUUAACACAUGCAAGUCGAACGGAAAGGCCUGCUUUCCCUUGUGGAUUGCGGGUACUCGAGUGGCGAACGGGUGAGUAACACGUGAGUGAUCUGCCCCCAACUUGGGUAUAAGCCUGGGAAACUGGGUCUAAUUCCCGAUCGGACUGCAGGGUGGUGCCUGUGGUGGAAAACGAUUUUCUAGUGGUUGGGGAUGAGCUCGCGGCCUAUCAGCUUGUUGGUGGGGUAAUGGCCUACCAAGGCGGCGACGGGUAGCCGGCCUGAGAGGGUGGACGGCCACAUUGGGACUGAGAUACGGCCCAGACUCCUACGGGAGGCAGCAGUGGGGAAUAUUGCACAAUGGGCGGAAGCCUGAUGCAGCGACGCCGCGUGGGGGAUGACGGCCUUCGGGUUGUAAACUCCUUUCGACCGCGAGGAAGCCACCUGGUUGGAAGGGUGGUGACGGUAGUGGUAGAAGAAGCACCGGCUAACUACGUG